ACAUCGGUAGCACAGUCGUUAGUGCAGCCUCCCCGAAAGAGAGAUACGCGGGUUAAAUUCCCGUCCGAUGUC
rnacentral:tRNA from 1 species